rnacentral:lncRNA from 1 species
UUUCAAAGUAGUUGCAAGUUUUUCCUUAAUGGUUAAGAUAGAUGUUAAGCCUUCAAAAUGUGUUCAAAACCUCAUAUCCCCCUAUUAUACAUAUAUUUUAUAAAAGUUUAUAAAAUAUAUAUUAUAUUUUAUUUAUAAAAUACAUAUAAUUCACUUCAAAUAGCCGAUAUUCAAUGGACGAAUCUCAAACUCAUGCCAAACCUAAAUGAAUAUUAAUUUUAAAUUCCAAAUCUAUUCCAAACCCGAUAUGCCAUAUAAGUUCUAUUAGAGAUCGAAAUGGAUUGGAUAUCUUAAAAAACCUACCUAACUAAUUUCAUUAAUUUUUUAUCUGAUUAAGUGAAAUACUAAUUUAAAGGC